rnacentral:tRNA from 1 species
UUGGGCUGUGGCUCACAUGGAAGAGCAUCUGCUUGGUGUGCAGAAGGUCCCAGGUUCAAUCCCCAUCUCCCGAU